CAGCGACCCUCACACGGUACUGGCUUUCCAGGUAUCUGUGGUCAUCAGGCAGAACUACAGAGGCUAUAGAUGGAGAUUUGCCCAUGCCUGUGCAGGGUGAAGAGCUGACUGUCUGCCUCCACAGGUACCAGGAUGCAACUAGAUCUGGGCAGCUGGGAAUGAAUAAGCAGCCUCUGACUACAGAAUGAUUGCCAACACUGGGCAAGGAAAAUAAGCCAUGUAAAGAUGGAAUAUACACAGAGAGCCUGGAUUAUAUAUACUAUUGUGUUUUGGACUGUG